UGUGUGCAACGCUAGGGGAGCUGGAGCUGCAAUCGCGGCGGCUAGAGCACCUCCUCUGGGGCAGCCUAGAUCGACGGCGACCUGCUGAGCUCUUCUGGGGCGGCCUAGAGCGGGAGCAGUAGUCAAGACAUAGCGGCAGCAGCACCGGUGCCAUUUCGGCGGCAGGGGCGGCGCCUAGGGGAGGCCUUAUGGGGCGGCUAGCGGCGGCGUCCGGCCAAAGUUGGGGUCCCCACCACCUGCAUGCUGCGCCUCCGCAGGGUCCACGGUGACAUGUCCCUCGGCCACACGCUCAAGGACUGCCUCGUCCACUGGACGUACGCGUUGCCGGCCGCGCUGCUGAGCAUGGUCGCCACCGCGACCGUCGGAAGGAGGACGCUGGAGGGGUCCAAGUUGCGCGCCAACGACGACCUCGCCGACGCCUUGUUCUCCGACUACAAGCACCCCCUGAGCGACUUCAGCUACAACACGGACCACAGCCAGCCGCUAGGGCAGCGCGCCGGUUUUCAGGGACCGGUUCAAGCACCCCGGGUUGCCGAGAGAGUUACACAAGUACCGCCGCCUAAUGUUGCGCUGCCACCUCAAGAUGACCCUCGAGGUUGAGCCUGCUGGGCGUCCGCGUGCACGACCUGGGCAGUAGCGGACCGCCAGGUAAGGGUUCGUGCGGGCCGUGACAACUCGGCGGGUGAAGGAGCAGAAGUUGCUCUACUUUCACAACUUCUUAGGAGCCCGCAACGGCCUGUUCAUGUGCUCACGUUCGUGUUGCAUUGUAUAAACCCGUUUGGCCGGUAAGAUGCACAAACCAGAACCUAGCCGUUCGAUGUAGUUGCCACAGUCCAAGAGAUCGAUCCAGGUCUUCUUACUUCCUCAUGUACGGUAUCUAGCUAAAGCACCACCUAUGUCCUCCACACUAGGUGAAGUGGUACGACCUGGGCUUCCCGCGUUUCAGAUAGAGUACUUGAUCGGCACGUAGAACGAGUUGUGGAAAGGUAUAUACAUGUUAGUCCGUCCAUAAAGGAGCGCAUGCGCCAACGACCGACGAUCUAAUUUGAAGACAAAGUCUCGCAAGGUCCAAUACACUCACGUACAAACUGGUUAACGUCAAAUAGGGCCGAUUCCAAGAUGUAACGUACGGAGUUUAUGGACUAGUACACCGAAGGAAAGCAAUCGAAACUCAUGAGUUACAUCUCCAAAGGGAAGAACUCAGUAUGUAUGGAGUUUAGCUAUCAAGAGAGAUUGAAGUGUUUAUAAACCACGCACAUAUAUAGUGAAAUAAAUCCUUUAUGAGUUUAACGUCUCAAACAAAGUAACAAUUAGUGAACUUAUUGAACCUAAUGAGACUUUAGUCUGAGGGAAAAGCUUCGUGUUAUCCUGAGGAAAAAUAUCUGUGUAAAGUUGAUACCACGAUUAUAGAAGAAAAGACCCUUCACGAUAUAUACAAUUCUAAGGAGGUGGUACAGAUGGUGUGGAGAGUAGGAAAAGAUUCUACAACUGAUGACUUAUUACUGGGUUCAAUUGUUCUAACCGUCUCCAAGAUAGAGUAUGUGAUUUAGACAGUAGCUUGGGUAGUACGUAACGUUCCAAACUAUUAACAACAGUUAAGUCUUCCCCCUAAACGGAGUAACUUCUAUGUCUAUUUUCUAAAAGACUGGAGUAUAGCUAAGAAUGAAGGUAAGGAGUACACAGGAUACAGAGUGCAGAGAAUGUGCCCGUCUUGCUGGACCCGGCAUCUAAUAUGCCACUUGCUCCCGCCACCGUCGUGAUCUCACUCCGUACCGACCAACUCCUUAUAAAAAAAAUUUAGUAAAUGAAUGUCUGAUUACAAACGAUACGAAGAAAAUCACUUGCGAACAUAAAACAAACUCUCGUAUAGUACCCACGUGACGAUUAAAUUAUUAGAAUCGUUACAUUACAAUUAGGUGGAUUAUACUAUAUUAUCGAUUUUGAUCGUCUGUACGAAGGCAGAAGUACCACGAUACCAUAAUUAGUAAACCAUCAUUUAAACGAUUGGGUCUAGGAGUUUAGACGAAAAAAAGAUCUUGAGAUGUAGAGCUUCAGACUCCGUGACCGUAUGAAUCGGUACGGUAAUUCUUCGGUUUAGGUAUCCAACGCUCGCUCUACAAGCAGGCGUGACAACGGACGGACGGACGGACACUUCGAAGCGGUGGUACGCUUUGGGAAAGUUCGACGAGCUACAUGAGAAGAAAGAAGACUAACGUACAAAACAUAUACACCCACGAGCAUCAUACAUAAUCCCAAUUAACUAGCAAACUAAGUCGGUAUCAUAACUGCGGCGUGCAUGUUGGACAAGGUCUAUAUAAAGAUCUUAUUGGGCACAGAUAUAUCCAAGUUCUGAUAAUGUCAGGUACAGUAAAACCAUGAACAUACAAGUAUGCCGGUUGGUAACCGGUCAUCAACCAACACGUCGUCCUCUACUAUACUGAAGUCAAGAAGAAGUGUAUUUGUAGAGGUAGGAAUAAAAAAGAAGUAUGCCGGUUGGUAACCGGUCCAAGAUGAUAAGACUUCAUUGACUUAAAUAGAAUAAAGUAAACUAAUCAUGACAACCCGACGACCGUCAAUAACAAGUCUUCGGACUAACAUAUAAUUACCACUUGAAACCGACAGAAAUAGGGUUAAAUUCUACAAUACCACGAUGUGUUGACAUAUAUCGCACUAUACCUCCUUGGUUUUCACGGUCUUCGUAGAGAAGUAAUUUGUAAGUCCCUACUUUGAAAAAACCGUAUACUGUUUUAAAACAAUUUCCAUAAACACAAUAACUAGUAUUGAUGCAUGUAUUGUUACGCUGUGUUAUAUUAAACCGUAAAAGUUUCGAUCGUGUACCUCGCCGUUCUCUCUCCUCUCCUCGAUGCCACCGGUCCAUUGAGCUCCUACCUCCCCUUAACCACAUCUUAUUCGGACGUGAGAAGUUCUUUUAUGUAUCCUAUUAAUACUUUGUUCUACUUGUUUGUCGAUUCGAUCGACUCCUCGCUAGAGGUCGUCGAGGGGCCAACGGUCACCAGUUUCUAACAGACGACUUUCUGUUUGUUCACUAGUACAAGAUCGUAACAACUUUCCUCAUCACUUACGACUACAUACAUGUAAAAAACAAGUCACAUAACCUUCACGUUUAAACAUAUAUGAAAUGAUCGUAAUAAAUGACCUAAAAUUGUAUAAACUAUAUAACCUAAAAUGAUCGUGUAUACGGGAACGCAACGUUGCCCUUUCUUUUAAUCCCAAUACACGUUAGUGUUACCAAGUAUCGCUU
rnacentral:rRNA from 1 species